GACGAACGCUGGCGGCGUGCUUAACACAUGCAAGUCGAACGGAAAGACCCUGCUUUUGUGGGGUGCUCGAGUGGCGAACGGGUGAGUAACACGUGAGUAACCUGCCCUUGACUUUGGGAUAACUUCAGGAAACUGGGGCUAAUACCGGAUAGGAGCUCCUGCUGCAUGGUGGGGGUUGGAAAGUUUCGGCGGUUGGGGAUGGACUCGCGGCUUAUCAGCUUGUUGGUGGGGUAGUGGCUUACCAAGGCUUUGACGGGUAGCCGGCCUGAGAGGGUGACCGGCCACAUGGGGACUGAGAUACGGCCCAGACUCCUACGGGAGGCAGCAGUGGGGAAUAUGGCACAAUGGGCGGAAGCCUGAUGCAGCAACGCCGCGGGCGGGAUGACGGCCUUCGGGUUGUAAACCGCUUUCGCCUGUGACGAAGCGUGAGUGACGGUAAUGGGUAAAGAAGCACCGGCUAACUACGUG
rnacentral:rRNA from 1 species